rnacentral:rRNA from 1 species
UACGUAGGGUGCAAGCGUUAUCCGGAAUUAUUGGGCGUAAAGAGCUCGUAGGCGGUUUGUCACGUCUGCUGUGAAAACUGGAGGCUCAACCUCCAGCCUGCAGUGGGUACGGGCAGACUAGAGUGCGGUAGGGGAGAGUGGAAUUCCUGGUGUAGCGGUGAAAUGCGCAGAUAUCAGGAAGAACACCCGUGGCGAAAGCGGCUCUCUGGGACGGUACUGACGCUGAGACGCGAAAGCGUGGGGAGCGAACAGG